GACGCCUGGCGGCAGGCCUAACACAUGCAAGUCGAACGGACUCUUCGGAGUUAGUGGCGCACGGGUGAGGAACACGUGGGAACAUACCCUUUGGUAGGGAAUAAUGUCUGGAAACGGACACUAAUACCCUAUAAUGACUUCGGUCCAAAGAUUUAUCGCCAAAGGAUUGGCCCGCGCAUGAUUAGAUAGUUGGUGAGGUAAUGGCUCACCAAGUCUGCGAUCAUUAGCUGGUCUGAGAGGAUGAUCAGCCACACUGGGACUGAGACACGGCCCAGACUCCUACGGGAGGCAGCAGUGAGGAAUAUUGGACAAUGGAGGAAACUCUGAUCCAGCCAUGCCGCGUGAGUGAAGAAGGCCUUAGGGUUGUAAAGCUCUUUCAAUAGUGAAGAUAAUGACGGUAGCUAUAGAAGAAGCUCCGGCUAAAUUCGUGCCAGCAGCCGCGGUAAUACGAAUGGAGCAAGCGUUGUUCGGAAUCACUGGGCUUAAAGCGUGCGCAGGCGGACUUGAAAGUCAGGAGUGAAAUCCCAGGGCUCAACCCUGGAACUGCUUCUG
rnacentral:rRNA from 1 species